GAGAAAGUGACAGAGUGGCUAUGCGUUUGACUUGAAAUUAAAAUACGGGGGUUCGAUUCCUUCCUUUCUUG
rnacentral:tRNA from 1 species